rnacentral:miRNA from 1 species
UCGCAGUGACGUCACCGGAGUGC